GUGCUCUUCAACAUUCUCUUCUCUUGAGGACCAGAAUCUGAAUUUCUUGAAUUUUGGGUGCUCUCUUCUCUAUCUCUUUGAUACGAGAAUAUGCUAUUAAUAAAAUGGUUUAGAGCUGUUUUACUAUUCACCAAUGAAAAGAAGAAACGUGACAGCUGUAGCGUAGAAUAUGGAAGAAGCAGAGCGUUCAUGGUUCUUCUUUAGCCACUCUUCUGUAGCUACCUCUUGUAUAAAUAAUGAAAGAAUGUU
rnacentral:misc_RNA from 1 species